rnacentral:rRNA from 1 species
GACAGAGGGUGCGAGCGUUGUUCGGAAUUACUGGGCGUAAAGCGCGUGUAGGCGGUUGUCCAAGUUGGAUGUGAAAGCCUUGAGCUUAACUCAAGAAAUGCAUUCAGGACUGGAUGACUAGAGGACCGGAGAGGAUAGUGGAAUUCCCAGUGUAGUGGUGAAAUACGUAGAGAUUGGGAAGAACACCAGUGGCGAAGGCGGCUAUCUGGACGGUUUCUGACGCUAAGACGCGAAAGCGUGGGGAGCAAACAGG